GUCGAGGGGCAGCAUGGUCUUAGCUUGCUAAGGCCGAUGGCGACCGGCGCACGGGUGAGUAACACGUAUCCAACCUGCCGUCUACUCUUGGACAGCCUUCUGAAAGGAAGAUUAAUACAAGAUGGCAUCAUGAGUCCGCAUGUUCACAUGAUUAAAGGUAUUCCGGUAGACGAUGGGGAUGCGUUCCAUUAGAUAGUAGGCGGGGUAACGGCCCACCUAGUCUUCGAUGGAUAGGGGUUCUGAGAGGAAGGUCCCCCACAUUGGAACUGAGACACGGUCCAAACUCCUACGGGAGGCAGCAGUGAGGAAUAUUGGUCAAUGGGCGAGAGCCUGAACCAGCCAAGUAGCGUGAAGGAUGACUGCCCUAUGGGUUGUAAACUUCUUUUAUAAAGGAAUAAAGUUGGGUAUGGAUACCCGUUUGCAUGUACUUUAUGAAUAAGGAUCGGCUAACUCCGUGCCAGCAGCCGCGGUAAUACGGAGGAUCCGAGCGUUAUCCGGAUUUAUUGGGUUUAAAGGGAGCGUAGAUGGAUGUUUAAGUCAGUUGUGAAAGUUUGCGGCUCAACCGUAAAAUUGCAGUUGAUACUGGAUAUCUUGAGUGCAGUUGAGGCAGGCGGAAUUCGUGGUGUAGCG
rnacentral:rRNA from 1 species